GAGGUCCGCUCGGUGGACAGGUGGUUAGAGCGUCCGCCCUGGAUGUGGAAGGUCGCGGGUUCCAACCCCGGCCGAAUUA